CCAACUGCUGGUGCUGACGCUCGGAAGCCGGAGGUACUUUCGGGAAGCGCGAGGAUAGUCUCGAAAAGUCAACUCUGUCAGCGGGAAGGGAAGACCAAAAGCAAAACCGGGGCCCCGGCCUCUUGUUCCCGGAGGUUGCCUGGCUGGCGUCCACGCGUCGGUUUCGAGUAACUUGAAUUCAGCAAGUAAAUUUACACUGAAGGAAGAAGAUUAAGCUUUUGAAAAAGAAGAAAAGGACAACUUGGUUCUUUCAGGGCAAUUUCUGUCUUCAGCAAUAAGCAUAUAUUUAUGUUUAAGCCACUAUUUGGUUUCCUGUUGAUUGCAUCCCAGAUGAUAGAUUCAACCAGCAGGACAGGGGAGCUGAGGACCCUGGCGCUGAAGCUUGCUGAGGACACGUGACAUGCAGAAAAUGUCAUGAAGCUGGAAUCUGUCAGGUGUCUGAAAAACAUGUCACCUUUAACAAAAAUCAAAAGAAUUUGAAUACAGUAACCAUUUCUUGCAUGAUGUAAGUCCACGAUGAUUUAAAUAAUGCAAAAGUCAAAA